rnacentral:rRNA from 1 species
CGUACUUGAUUCAAAUGCGAUGUGGGGACGGAGAAGGUUAUGCUGGCAAUCUGUUGGAAUAGAUUGUUUAAGCCGGUAGGUAGAAGGAGUAGGCAAAUCCGCUUCUUUAAUAUCGAGACGUGAUGACGAGUGUCUACGGACAUGAAGCAGCAAAUACCACGCUUCCAGGAAAAGCCACUAAGCUUCAGUUUGAAUUGAACCG